CAAUUUUUUAUUUCAGUUUUAGUUUAUAUACAGCUGAACUGGGCACAUACUGGCGGGGAGCAGGUGAAUAUCAGUCAGGGGCAGAUUAUGGAUCCAAAUGUGUAUGCUGAGGCGUCUAUACAUCACACUGGAACCAGUGAGAGGUUGAACAGCCGGACGUGCAGGUAUGAAAUCCUCCAAUACUUUCAAGCACAACAGCGCGAUUACUGGGUUAACCUGCGCCUUCAAGGUAAACUUGCAUGCCUGCAGAGCGCGGAUCAUACAGUCUCACACUCUGCGUUACAACAUUCAGCCGUUAACGAAGAUAUCCUGAAAUUUGUUAUUAAAGCUCGGCUGCAAACUCUCCCGACUAAAUACAACCUCUCUUUGUGGUUCCCAAAACAUCAUGAACCAUUCUGUUUACUACACAGCGAUAAGGUAAUGGAAUCCACAGCGCACAUACUGAACGGAUGCCCCGCGUUUAAAGGACUUUACAUUGCGCGUCAUGAUCGCAUCGUAAACAUAACGGCUCAAGAACUGCGCAAAGUAUCUGGACAAAGUGCAAUACAUACAAACAAAACUGUUAAAACUAGUUGGUUUUUAAACCUGAAUGAUAAUAAUAUAAACUCUCUUAGAAGUGUUCUCAGGGAAUACCCAAACACUCCAGACAUCGUGGUCAUCGAUGAACUUUCUAAGAACAUUCUGAUUUUGGAAGUGGGCUGUUGUUUUGAUCUUUACAUGGACUUGUGUUUUUCUGAGAAAAUGUUGAAGUAUCAGUCAUUAACCAAUGUUUUGGCAGUGUGUGGUUAUAGGACCAAACUGAUUAUUCUUAUUUUUGGUAGCUUGGGACAUGUGCACAGAUUAUGUGUCAGAGGCUUGCAGACUGCUGGACUGAGUAAAAAGAUCUCUAAGCAAACAGCCAGAUAUUGUUCUGUGUCAGCAAUCAUAGGCAGUCUGCAUGUUUGGAGAAGACGAUGUCACCUUUAUUACUAGUCUACUUAUUAAUGUGGUUGCGACUAUUUGCAUUGUCUGUAUUGUCAGGUCAAAUAAAAUAAUCAUGUGUGUGUGUGUGUGUGUGUGUGUGUGUGUGUGUGUGUGUGUGUGUUAAAUUUACUUCAGGAUGUUUAAAAAAAUAUAAUUUACUGUUGGAUAUUUACAUUAGGCUGUCAUGGCAAAACAUGGUUCUUUUAAGGAUCAAAAGGGAG
ensembl:lncRNA